rnacentral:rRNA from 1 species
UACGUAGGGGGCAAGCGUUGUCCGGAUUUAUUGGGCGUAAAGAGCGUGUAGGCGGCCAUACAGGUCCGUUGUGAAAACUCGAGGCUUAACCUCGAGACGUCGAUGGAAACCGUAUGGCUAGAGUCCGGAAGAGGAGAGUGGAAUUCCUGGUGUAGCGGUGAAAUGCGCAGAUAUCAGGAGGAACACCAAUUGCGAAGGCAGCUCGCUGGGACGUUACUGACGCUGAGACGCGAAAGCGUGGGGAGCAAACAGG